rnacentral:rRNA from 1 species
CCUGGUCCCAUUCCGAACCCAGAAGUUAAGCCCGUAAACGCUGAAAGUACUUGGAGGGAAGCCUCCCGGGAGGAUAGGAACUUGCCAAGCU